rnacentral:rRNA from 1 species
CCGCACAAGCGGUGGAGUAUGUGGUUUAAUCGAUGCAACGCGAAGAACCUUACCUGGUCUUGACAUCCCGGAGACCCUUAGGAACUAGGGGUGCUUCCAUCUGGAAGAAUCUGGAGACAGGUGCUGCAUGGCUGUCGUCAGCUCGUGUCGUGAGAUGUUGGGUUAAGUCCCGCAACGAGCGCAACCCUUGCCUUUAGUUGCCAGCAGUUCGGCUGGGCACUCUAAAGGGACUGCCGGUGUUAAACCGGAGGAAGGUGGGGAUGACGUCAAGUCCUCAUGGCCUUUAUGACCAGGGCUACACACGUACUACAAUGGCCGAUACAAAGGGCAGCGACACUGCGAGGUGAAGCCAAUCCCGUAAAAUCGGUCUCAGUCCGGAUUGGAGUCUGCAACUCGACUCCAUGAAGUUGGAAUCGCUAGUAAUCGUGGAUCAGCAUGCCACGGUGAAUACGUUCCCGGGCCUU